rnacentral:rRNA from 1 species
CAGCCGUAAACUAUGCUCGCUAGGUGUCAGGCAUGGCGCGACCGUGUCUGGUGCCGCAGGGAAGCCGUGAAGCGAGCCACCUGGGAAGUACGGCCGCAAGGCUGAACUUAAGGAUUGGCGGGGGAGCACAACAACGGGUGGAGCCUGCGGUUUAAUUGGACUCAACGCCGGACAACUCACCGGGGGACGACAGCAAUAUGUAGGCCAGGCUGAAGACCUUGCCUGAAUCGCUGAGAGGAGGUGCAUGGCGUAGACGUCU